GACGUAGGGCGCGAGCGUUGUCCGGAUUUAUUGGGCGUAAAGAGCUCGUAGGCGGCUUGUUGCGUCAGCUGUGAAAACCCGCAGCUCAACUGUGGGCUUGCAGCUGAUACGGGCAGGCUUGAGUUCGGUAGGGGAGACUGGAAUUCCUGGUGUAGCGGUGAAAUGCGUAGAUAUCUGGAGGAACACCGGUGGCGAAGGCGGCAUCCUGGACCAACACUGACGCUGAGGAGCGAAAGCCAGGGGAGCAAACGGG
rnacentral:rRNA from 1 species